UCUCUUCUAGCUUUACUUUUGUAGUUUUUUUUUCAGCACAUAAGGCAGUAGCUGAUGAUCAAAUAUUGAAAUAAAAACUACAAAAGUAAAGCUAGAAGAGACGAGUAGCAAUUCAUCUAGCAAAACAACCUAACUCUUAGUACCUCUGAAAUUUUGCUCAAGGCAGUUAGAAAAUAAAGAAGCUAGGUAUUGAUGUUACCAAAUUUGAGCCCAUAACAAGGAAACUCAAGU
rnacentral:misc_RNA from 1 species